rfam:Methanocaldococcus infernus ME, complete genome.
GUAAGAGGGCUGGUGGCUGUCCCUCCAACUUAGGAGGGAGGAAGUUCCGCCCACCCCAUAAAGAGAUGAAGGGGCAACUCCCGAGAGGGAGGGAGAAGAGCAACAGAAACGACACGGCCCUGGAAGAGAUGACAAUGAUAGAAAAAGUUGAGGACUUCCAGGGAACCGGUGAAACGGGCUCUCCUCCAGCCCCUGAGGGGUGCAAGCCGAAAAGGCGCUUAGCCGAAUGCCACCGAAAUUACAGAAGGCGGGCUAUAGCCCUCUUAC